AGAACAGAAGCUUCAACAAGCAGUUAGCCGUUACCUAAUAGACAGUGAGAAUCAGAUUCACCUGUUCAC
rnacentral:tRNA from 1 species